UACGGAGGGUGCGAGCGUUGUCCGGAAUCAUUGGGCGUAAAGGGCGCGUAGGUGGCCCCUCAAGCGUGCGGUGAAAGUCAGGGGCUCAACCCCUGAUCGGCCGUGCGAACUGGGGAGCUUGAGCACUGUAGAGGCAGGCGGAAUUCCGGGUGUAGCGGUGGAAUGCGUAGAGAUCGGAAGGAACGUCAAUGGCGAAGGCAGCCACCUGGCUUAAUACUGACGCUGAGGCGCGAAAGCGUGGGUAGCGAACAGG
rnacentral:rRNA from 1 species